GAGUUUGAUCAUGGCUCAGGAUGAACGCUGGCGGCGUGCUUAACACAUGCAAGUCGAACGAAGCAACUUAUUACGAUCCCUUCGGGGUGACGAUUUGUUGACUGAGUGGCGGACGGGUGAGUAACGCGUGGGUAACCUACCUUGUACAGGGGGAUAACAGUUGGAAACGACUGCUAAUACCGCAUAAGCGCACGGUAUCKCAUGAUACAGUGUGAAAAGUUUUUCGGUAUAAGAUGGACCCGCGUCUGAUUARCUAKYUGGUGAGGUAACGGCCCACCAAGGCGACGAUCAGUAGCCGACCUGACAGGGUGACCGGCCMMUUGKSACUGAWA
rnacentral:rRNA from 1 species